UGGGGAAUAUUGGGCAAUGGACGCAAGUCUGACCCAGCGACGCCGCGUGCGGGAUGAAGGCCUUCGGGUUGUAAACCGCUUUCAGCAGGGAAGAAGCGAAAGUGACGGUACCUGCAAAAGAAGCACCGGCUAACUAUGUGCCAGCAGCCGCGGUAAUACAUAGGGUGCAAGCGUUGUCCGGAAUUAUUGGGCGUAAAGAGCUCGUAGGCGGUUCGGUAAGUCGGGUGUGAAACCUCCAGGCUCAACCUGGAGACGCCACCUGAUACUGCUGUGACUAGAGUCCGGUAGGGGAGUGUGGAACUCCUGGUGUAGCGGUGAAAUGCGCAGAUAUUAGGAGGAACACCGGUGGCGAAGGCACCACUCUGGGCCGAAACUGACGCUGAGGAGCGAAAGCGUGGGUAGCAAACAGG
rnacentral:rRNA from 1 species